UCCCUAACAGACAGGACCUGUAGAUGCCUCUUCAGCUGAUCUGAAAGUGACAGGAAGAUAUAAUCAAGACUUGGGAGCAGACAGAAAACAAAAGAACUCACAGAGCAGAGAUACAGUGUGUGAUAUUCUAAGCUGCUGCCGUACUUGAUUGUCCUUACUGAAGAGAAAGCAACAGAUGAGGAGCUCAAGAGGCGUUUGAUAUGUCGCACACGUUAGAGGGGAUCUUGCCAGCUCGCUCAAUUGAUGGGGGUUUAUGAAGAUCAUAUCAAAUCUC